rnacentral:rRNA from 1 species
CCUACGGGAGGCAGCAGUGAGGAAUAUUGGUCAAUGGGCGGAAGCCUGAACCAGCCAAGUCGCGUGAGGGAUUAAGGCCCUGCGGGUCGUAAACCUCUUUUGCCGGGGAGCAGAGGUCCGGACGUGUCCGGGCCGGGAGAGUACCCGGAGAAAAGCAUCGGCUAACUCCGUGCCAGCAGCCGCGGUAAUACGGAGGAUGCGAGCGUUAUCCGGAUUUAUUGGGUUUAAAGGGUGCGUAGGCGGGCAUUUAAGCCGGCGGUCAAAUGUCGGGGCUCAACCCCGGCCUGCCGUCGGAACUGGGUGCGGUGAGUGGGCGAGAGGUAUGCGGAAGGGGUGGGGUAGCGGUGAAAUGCAGAGAGAUCACGCAGAACCCAGAGUGCGAAGGCAGCAUACCGGCGCCCUACUGACGCUGAAGCUCGAAAGGGCGGGUAUCGAACAGGAUUAGAUACCCUUGUAGUC